UACGGAGGGUGCAAGCGUUGUUCGGAAUUAUUGGGCGUAAAGGGCGCGUAGGUGGGUCGCUAAGUCUGAUGUGAAAUCCCUCGGCUCAACCGAGGACGUGCAUUGGAUACUGGCGACCUUGAGUCCUGGAGAGGGAAGCGGAAUUCCCAGUGUAGAGGUGAAAUUCGUAGAUAUUGGGAGGAACACCGGCGGCGAAGGCG
rnacentral:rRNA from 1 species